GGAUCUGAGGGUCUCCUCAGAGUACAGGAGUUAAAGACUUUGGAGAGCUGACCACACCAUCAGUGUCUCAGGGUAUCAUGCUGAUGUGACCCUACUCCUAUGGGUUUCAGUCAACAUCUGGUAAUAAAACCAAGAAAUGAAGUAGGAAAAAAUAUUAACAAACUAGUCUUCCACUGAGAUUUCUACAGGAAAUAUUUGUUUCUGGCUUUUUCUGCAAAAUUUGCGCUACUUUCCUGCUUUUCCAGUAAACUUCACCCAGCCACCAGAGACACUGGGCAAGCGAAAUGUUUGUUGGGUGAGAUAGAUACAGCACCACUCUAUCCAUUUUACUGACUGCUCAGGAGCUGGAGCCUAGCCAGGCGUGGUGGCUCACUCCUAUAAUCCCAACAGUUUGGGAGGCCAAGGAAGGAAGUUUUUUCUUUUUCUUGGCAACUCUCCCUGCUAUUCCCC
rnacentral:lncRNA from 1 species